GUUUAUUAGCUCUGUAUUUCCUUCUCAUGUUUUUAUGUUUAUAUCCUUCUCCAGUUGUGUUUUAGAAACAAUGCUUUCCCUACUGUUUCUAUGAACUGUUCAUAUAUACGUGAUCUUGGCCAUUUGCAUGCCCUAUUAGUUUCCAUGAUUAAAGGCUGCAUGGAAAAAGGGUCAAAGGAGGACCUCCCUGAUUUAAUUAUAGAUUACCAAAAAGAGAGGCAGACAAGGGGAGACAAUACUGAGGGGAUGUUCUUGCAGAAAAAGCCACGUAAACCUUCCAGCCAAAAGUCAAUGACAUCUUUAGUAAAUUCUACAGAGUUUCUGAAUACUUUGAGGAGUAUCUUUCCUAUGAAGAGACUACGAAUACCCACUGAGUCCUGCUUUGAAGUCAGAAUCAGCGGGAAGUAAAAACAGACUUUGCUCAAAGGGUAAACCAACCACGAGUUACUCUUGUUAAGAUUAUUCUCAUGUAUUUUAUAUAAUCGAUGUCAUUAUAAAUUGAAAGAUUUUUUUCCAUUAUGAUUUCUAAGUGGUUGUUUCUGGCAUAUAGGAAAGCAAUUUUAUAUCAUUUGCAGGGGUUCUUAGAAAUCCUGACCUUUUCAGUUGAUUGUCUUGAAUACUAAUGAUGAUUUUAGUGAUUAUAAUCCUUGAUUGUACUAAAUUAAUAAGAGCGAAGUAUUGUUUAACUGUAUAAGAAUCAAGGACAGAAUAGCAUUUUAUCAGGAAUUUAUUAGAGUAUUAUAUCAGACCUUAAAUAUGUUUUUUCUUCUUGAAAUAUUAAUGUGUUGUGUCAACAUCUUCAUAGCAUUUUACUCACAAACUAAUUUUAUUAAAUUCAGUAAGUAUACAAAAUAUGUACAGACUGAAAAAUCUUAUGUGGUGAGGCUGAGAAAGGAAAUCAAAAACAGAAAUAAAACUUAAAGAUCAUAAAUGGAACCUUAAUCAAUACGCCCUACCCCGUUCUGGUCUAGUUGAAUCUCAUCUCCAGAAAUAAAUGGAAAUGAAAAUGGAAAACAGCAAAAUUUAACAGAAAUAUGAUUUAGCCAAAAAGAAUAAGAAUAUGAUAUGCUAUUAUUUUUUAAAGUUAAACCAUUUGAAAGAACUGUCUACAUUGGUUGUUUAAAAGGAGAUUUCUCAUUAUAUAUGGUUGUGUGAAAAAAACAAAAACUAAAAAAUGGUAACUAAACAGCACGUGUAAUUCUAACCAUGUGUUUGUAUGUUAACAGGAAUUAACCUUUAGAAAAGAGAGUCAGAGGUAAUGGCUUUUUUUUCUUUUUGUUUAAACUUUUGACAAUAAAUAUCUAUAUUUUUGACAUCAGAAAAAUAUUGUUAAAAGAAAAUCUAAACACAAUGCCUCUUUCCCGUUUCUAUAAUAAUUCCAUAUUUCAGAAAGAAUUUUUAGUAGAUUUAAGAUGAAGAUAAGUUAAAAUAUCUACAUGAGAAUUUCUGAUCAGAGAAGCACCACACAUUUUGAUAAAACAUGAUUAUUAUUAUUUCACAAAUAUUACAAAGUAAACCACAAGUUUUGAGAAAAUAGGUUUCUCAUCGAAGAAUCUUCAUGUUCUUUAUUGUCCUGACUCAUACAAAAUGUUCACCAGAGUUGCGUUUUUGAAUUUUUUGGACAACUUGUUGAUAAUUCAAGAUGGGGCCAAGAAAAAUAAAGUCAAAUAUAGAGAAUAACAGAAAUUGUGUUUGUGUUCAAAAAUUCUGGACAGAGAUUAUUUGGGUAAAAGGUAUGGUUCAUCUCUUGCUUCAUUUUAAAUCUCUUUCUUUACUGAAAUCAAAUUUCUUUCUGGGAUUUUCAAAUAUCUUAUCUCCAUAUUUUUGUCUUUAUGUCCAGCCUGAAGAUUUAUUUCAGUUUCUCCAUUUUCCUAGCAGGAAAAUGCUACAUGUACUUAAAGCUUCAAGUAAUAUGGAUAAUUGAACUCAACACAGAAUAAUUAAGUAAAAAAGGAAACCUCAUUCAUUGCAUAACUAUUUUGUUUCUCUGACUCCUUCCUUUGAAUAUGUCCUGGAUUCAGACACAGAAAGUCAACGAUUUCUAGCAUUCAUUUUAGAAUGUUGGUUUGCCCUUGCUGGAAAUAUCUGUAUACCCAACAAUUUUGGUGACAUUCAAUUCUCUGGAAAAGUUUGUCUAAAUUGCUGGAGAACAUGUUUUUGGCCCCUUCACUUCAUAUGAGUACCGCAUAUUCAGGCCCUCUAGCUGGCGUUUCAGAGCCACAGAUAUAAUGUGACUAUAUUGACAAUUAUUCAAUCCUGAGAGAGACAAAGACCCAGUGUUCUAUCUUUAUUAUUCAAACGUACUGCCCCUGUUUGGUGAACAGGGAUUCAUUCACUCCAAAUACAAAAGGUCCCUGAACUCAUUUAGAACACAAAAACAAAUUAUAAUCACUUUAAGCCAAUGGAAUUCUGAGUUAUCAUAAGCUAAUGUUUUGAGCUUUUUCUGCAUCUUAGAAUGCACACAUCCUUGUUUAAGAUUCAAACCUCUGGACACAAUUCUGGUUGACCAGUAGGCUUUUUAGCUGACAAAUGACUGGCUGACUUGGAAACCAGUUCUUAAAGCCUCCAGAGAGCCACAUGCUGAUACUCCUGAGCUCUCAGCUCUUAGAUUUUUCACAUCAUUUUUACAAAAGAAACACCUCAGGUGUACCAAAGCUUUGUGUAAUGAAAUCUUUCAGAGCAGCCAGAAAAAUAUAACUCUUCCCCACCUGGAUUCAGUUGUGGGUUAGAGCACAUUUAAUUUCAAGUCAAUAGGUUCCCUGCACAUCAGCACUUAAGGGAUUAAAGACAAGUCUAGUUUUGUUGCCCUAAAUGUACUGUUAUUGUUAUCAAUUCGUGCAGCCUUGCAAUAAGUUUUCAAUAAAUCUAAGAUUAACUAUGAUUUUCUUGCCUAUAAAUAAAAUAUAAUCAUCUUAAAAAUCAAUGAAGGGAAAACCAUCAUAUCCAUUAACCUGGCUCAGAAUCCCUCCAGGCUCUUGAUAUGAAACACAGUGCAGUGGAUCUUUCAUUUUAUUGAGCUAUAUCUCUUUGUAUGGCAACCAGCAGGCAAAAGAAAAAAUCUAAUCUAAAAACCAAAGACUAGGGUUUUUUUGUUGUUGUUGUUCUAAAACCACUGAGGUAAGGACUGAAUAUUCUUUUCUGCCUGGGGUUAAUUUUUUUCCCGCUUUAAUUUGCAAUCAUGCAAUAAAAAAAUGGGGGGAGGACAUUGCCUCAAGUAGCUAGUGGCUUUAUUACCAUCUCUCCUGCCAGUCUCCACUUUUUAUCACUUCCAAAUCCUUUGUUUUUAAAGUCACCUGCACAACCCUGCAAUGUUAGAAACACCUUCAGUUGUCUUCACCAACUGUCAUUUCGUACCAUCUGCUGUUAGAAUCUCAAAAGCAGUAACGCAUGGGGGUCAAGGCCACUUUCUCUCAGGAAACUAAAAAACAACAGAGCCAAGUCAUUUAAUGUGGGUUUUUUUUCCCCCUGUCAGCUUUACUACACUCUGGAGUGGACAUUUUCCUUGCCUUUCAGUUGCGAAUGUUCCUCAAAAGACAUGAACUUCACAAUAAGAAUGAUCAUGACUGGACUUUGAACAUCUAACUUCAUUAAUGCUCCAGAGAGGAUAACAACACCCACAAGCCAUAUUUGAGAUGUGAGCCUGAGCGUCCAGUCCGCCUUUGUAGAACUUUCCCAGCCACCACAAGCACUGACUGGAAGGUUGAAACUGAGAGUUUGGGAGGAAGGAGGAAGGCACCAGUCACUGAAUGAGGAAGGACCAGCCUCUUCCUUGAUUUCUUUUCCUACACUGCCCACACUUGCCCCUUUUCCAUCCUGGAUACAUUUAUAACAUAAAUUAUAUACUUCAGCUUUAUAAAAUAUAUGUAAAAGCCCAAAAGAGUUACUCCCACUGUUAGUCUUUGCAUAGUUGUUAGUGUGGAUGCUUUAGGAAAGAAUAUUAAUUUUAAUAUUAACCUUAAGACACAACCAAAAAAUUAAUUUUCUGCAAAAAGUUAACAUGUUCUAUAAUAUAGUAGAAAAUGUAAUCGAAUAUUCAUGAUAUAUUGUCAGUGAAAAAGCAAGAUGUAGAACAAUGUGAACAUUACGAUCCUAUUUCUGCAAAAAAAAAAAAUUUCCUACUAAUAUUAUAUACAGAUGUAAUCAUGUGUAUUCACUCCAAAAUAUUAUCAGCCAUGCAUAAAUAUUCUAACUAUGCCAUUAACAUUAUUUUUAGUUUCUGUACAUAAAAUAACUCAAGAAUAAUUGUUAAGUCUCUAAAUAAAGUACGAUGCUGAAAUGACCUCUUCGUGACAUAAAAAGUGCAAAAACAAGGCUAUCAUCAUUUUUUCAAGAGAUUCUCAGACAAAAAUGUUCAUGUUAUUUUGCAAGCUUCUUUAUUUGCAUAAAAGCAUGCUUGUCACAUUUCUAUAUUUCAUUGAACUUCUAUUAAGAAUAUAUAAUCCAGAUGUUCCUUGAUUUCAGAAAGCAAUUUUUCUUGAAUCUGAGCUUGUUUACAUUACAAGAGAUUCUUUUUUAAAUAAAAGAAUCAAAGUAAUGUUACUUUAAAGCACAAAUCCCUCUGUGAAUUUAUGAUUUUAUUAAAAAUAUAAGUUGCAACUUCUCAGAUGUACCCAUCAUGAAAAUAUAUUAGGUGUCCGCAUUAUUUGCUUGUAAAAUAUAGUGACUGGAUUUAUGUUCAAAAAACUGGGAGGCAGUCACGUCUUCAGUGUCCCAGGAGUGAGCAGCCCACCUGUACAUUUUCUGUUGACCAAGGAAAAGAGAUGCUAUUCCAAGCAAUGCGUCUUCCAUCAUCCCUCAGACUCUCAAAAGUUGUAGCUUCUUAUUCAUAGUUUUUAGAUGACAUCCUUAACUGUGGAUUCAGUUUCUGAAUUUCUCUUU